GGCUCAGACAUCUGGGUAGCCAUGCAAAUUCUCAGCAUCCACGACAUCCAUGAGCAUGGCAAGAGAUCUAUUAAUCCACCACAUACCUUCUGUAUGCCUAAUCCCUUCCCUCUUUGUUCUAAAAGAGUUUUCAGUUAAUUUUACCUAAGAAAAUGAGGAAUUGUUUCUUAAUCUCUCCUCAUUACUCCCUUUAUAGUCAUCUCUCUCAUCCCUUCCUCUUAGUUUCUUUUUCUCCCAGACCAGACUCCCAAUCACUUUAGCCACUCCAUGGACAGAGACCUGGGUGACCAAAAUACUGUGAUUUUGUCUGUAAAACACACAUUCCCUCAAAAAAGAAGGAGAAGCCAGAACCCAGAGCUACCUACUGCUUCUGGCUUCUUUCCCUGAAUGUCCUUUACUGUUUCUGAGAUACUUGGCUGUUCCUGGCUCAUGCAGUCAGACAUCUUAGUCCAAAAUAAAUACCUAGUGAAAACACCCUGAGCUCAGUUCAGGCAUUUUGCAUAUGAUCUCUGCUUUCAGUUACCUCAUUCCAUAAAAAUUAUCAUAGCUGUUUUGAAUGCCUGACCUGUAUUAAAGGAUGACUGCUACGUGCAAAGCUCCAACAAAGGACAUAGCACAGAGACCUCUUCUUUUCCUGAGAUGUGAAAGAAGGGCUGUGUCCCAUCUCUGUGCACAGUCUGGACUUUUUAUCUGCUAUCCCUGUGCUUGGACAGCUGAGAAGUGAACAGGCAAGGCAUUUCUUUCAAGUAUGACAAUGAAAAAGCCCCAAGCCCCUAUGAACCAGGACCGAAAGACAGAAAAUUGAGAGAUAUAUGUGAUAGGAGUAACUGGACACAUUUCUGGCUCGGAAGACUGAUCUCGGGGCCACAGCAGCCCUUUCCCCUUUCCUCAUAAGCGCUGGUUGCUGCUGCCCCAGGCAAGGAGCCCUCCCGGGGCAGGAAGGCAGGGGCAAGCGGCGGUGCCCGGGGACUGCCAGCCCCAGCUCCCCGGGACAGUGCCGGCUUCAGCCGCCAGAUGGUACCGCUGCCACGCAGCUCCGCACAAAGCAUGCCAGAGGAAUGAUCGGGGGAAAAAUCGAGCUAGAAAAGACGUGGUGCUGAGAGUGAACCAAACUCAGGCUCACACGGACCAGGGAAUAUCCCAUCAUUGCCAUUUCCAUCUGCGAGUGGUGCAGGUUUUCCCUUUUACUGUCCUACUUAUUGCCCAGCCUUUCUACAUCGAUUGUCUGAAAGAGGCGGGAUGCAUACAAUGCUCAGAGUUUGUCUUAACAGAUAGGUUACUUAAUGCUUGUCUUCCUUUUUUAUCUAUUUAUUUAUUUAUGCUUUUAUUUAUUUAUUUAGCGGAAUCUAAUGUUUUUUGUUUUGUUUUGUUUUGUUUUUUUGUGAAAUCUAAUGUUUUUAUGUUACUAUGUGAAGAAAGCACCAGAAAAGUCUGAAAAACAUGAACGUAAGUGUUCUCAGUCACUGGUUGUCAGUGACCUGUAAUUAGAGGUACCCUGCAGCACUCCCACUCUUUGAAGGGUCUGCUUAGUUUUUUUACAUAGCAGCUUGCUUAAUAUAUUUUUCCUCUAACCUCCAUUAGCACUCGACAGAAAAAAGAUCAGUUCCAGAAAAUGGAACAUUCGUACCUACUGAAAUUACAUAUAAUUAACCAAUUAGAAACAGAAAUCUGUCUCGGUUUUCAGAAUGAGUGCUUACUGGUGUAUAAUGCCUUUCAAAACCCCUGCUCUCUUCUAGGGAAAUAAUUGCUGGCUUCCUAAUUUCACAGGCUGGCUGUUAUCACUUUCUAGACAGCAGGUCUAAGCAAGAGUCCUUCCCAUAAUUUAUUUUGGGUGAUCCUUGGAAUCUUCUCCUAAAAGUAAUUUACCACAGAACUUUACAAAGCUCUUUGGCAUCACAGCCAGGACCUGCCACGUCUGUGCCCCAUGCUGUGCAGUGACUCUGACUUCAGAGAAAUGUUUUAUUUCCAUGUCCUCUCUAAAAUGCUUUGUUUAUCCCACUUCCCACAGUCUACAGCCCAGGAGACGUAGGCAUUGCAUAUGACAAUCUAAUUCAGCUCCAUGUCACAGAAAUAAAUGCCUUCACACAUGGCCUGCACAUAGGCCAGGCCUCUGAAGUGUAAUACAUGCUGUGAGUUAUCGUGGCAGACUUUCACACAUCCCUGCAGAUAAGGUAAUUUAGUAAGACAUCCAAGUGACUGCCUGGAGAUGUGCAUUUGCCUUUGCACAAAUGGAGGCAGCUACUUUGACAGUGCUCUCAUUUCUUUGAAUCUUCUACAGGAGCUGCCUAGAAAAUUGCAGCUAUCAGUGAGUAAAACAUUAGGGGGUAGGAAUGGCAUCCCAAACUUGAUGUGUUUGUGCUACUUCUGUUCAGCAAAUUGCAGCUAGGGGAUGUAAACAUAUAGGGUGCUUUAGCCUUCUUCUGGCUCCACAAAAGCCAUGAAGAGAGGAGACCUGUGCUCUGCUUUGCUCUCUACCACCUGUGUGCCUCUGGAAUGCCUCCGUGAGAGAGGAAUGAUGCAAGCACUGGAGGCACACUGGUUCAUUUAAUAUGUGCCCCAUCUCAAAUUGGUGCAUAUUUUGAUGCAAAACUCCAGCUGUGAUCAUCCUGAGACUGCAGUUUUCACAGCAGAGUUGUAUUUUGUGUGCUGGUUGUUAAAACAGUGCAUGAGGUAUGGAAACCUUGCCUUAUAUCAUAUAUCAUCUGUGAUAUAUGACUUUGAAGAUAUUUUGGCUGACAGCAAAAACAUAGUGGUUUAACUACCAUUUUGGUCUUUUCAGACUUCUGUUAAAGUGCAGAUAUUCAAAUAUAACCAUAGGUAAAAAAGAACAUUUCUUGGUGGAGUUUUGUACAAAUUGCUACUCUUCUCAUUUCUGAUAAUUUUAAGCAAUUUUCUCUCCAAGAUCCCAUUGUUCCUUUCACUAAUACACUUAUUGACUCAUAUCUAUGGAAGCACCUUGCCUCCUGGCUUCUUUUGCUGGCUCAUUACUUGCAUUUAUUGCUGCAUUUCUCUGAAGCAAUUUCAUUAAGUUCUGCUUUAUGUCUAUCACAGAAAUCUGCUGUUAGGAUACAGCGCCCUUUCAUGUUCAUAGGAAGUGGAAGUUCAUUCUGUCCCCUGAAUUUUAUUAAUUUCUUUCAAUCAUUUAAAAAUGAAAAAAACACAAGCCUUAAACAGUUAAGUUACUGCAGAAUUUUGGCUCUUUCCGUUAACAGCAAAAUAAAGCUAAUUUCCUGCAGCUUUCUGCUUUGAGCUAUAAAGCUUUGUGUGCGGAUUACUUUUUUGAGAGCUAUUAUGAUUGUCCACAGGCAGAACAAGUUCAGUAAAAUAUCAGCUUCUGAAUCUCCAAAGAAACAUUCAUUGGGGAAAAACUUGGAGCUCUUUGUUUGCAGCAUUUUGUAGUUGGUUAAGAGGCAUUUAUGUAACCUUCAUCUCAUGAAGGGUGACUGCUAACAUUAGUAUUUUUAAAGCUCCACACAAUUACGAGGCACGAAUGUGAACAUUGUUGAGGGAAUUUGAAAACACUUUUGAAAGCAAAAGGCAGAUUAAAUUAAAAAAAAAAAAAAAAAAAGCCAAAAAUACCCCACAAGAUAAAAAAAAAGGGAAAAACCUUCACAAAGCUGGGAAUUAUACAUUGGCUCAAAGGUACUUUUACAUCCACAUCCAGGACAAGAGACUCCAAAAUAGACACCUAUAAUUUUUGAUAGCUAUCCUUGAUGUUCCAAAUGACACUGUCACAAAACUUCCCUUGACAACCAGAUCCUCAAAGCUAUUCAGAUACCAUAGUACAGAAAUUUUAUUUGGGCCAGAGUGUGAGGGAGAAGCUGUAUGGUCUCAUGGGUGGCCAUCCCUUAGUGCAGUGGCAUGUACACUACCUUAUGAAAUUCUGCUGCAUUUUCAAACACCUCUCUUUAAUUAGCUCCAAAGAAAUCUCCACAUUCCUCUUACUUCACAGUGCAAGGUGUAGAAAUGUACCCUCCAUGUCCCUGGAAGUUCCUGGAUGCCCCACAGACAGCUUCCAUGGCUACAGGGGACCUCUUUCCUCCAACGUGUGGGUGACCUGAGGGUUUGGAGUCCCACACCUGCCCUUGCAUGGCAGCAUCUCAUCCAUUUGCAAAGGCAGUGCACAAUGAAACUGGAAUUAAGGAUUCCCCCCAGGUGUUUCAUAAUUGCUAAAAAGAAGCCCAUGGUUGAUUUGGCAUCACUAAGGCUGAACAACAUCUGGGUGCCACAGCACAACCUGGUUUCUGCUCCACACGUUGCCAACAUCAGGGACCAGACUAGAGAAUACUUUUUCUUCCUUCAGACCACUGCAACUGGAUGCCUUUUUUGUAAGGAGGAAGUGGGUUACAAAGUGGAGGUAGUAUUUACCUGAAUCUCAUGCACCAAAGAGGCAGAAUGAUGAUUUGUGUGCACCUGGAACAGCUGGGUGGUCAGAUGGUCAGACUGUAGAUGCUAUUCCAGCAACAUUGAGAAUCACAGGAUAUUGUUCACAGCCCUUACCCAUCUGAAGGGUUCAAAGGUUUUGGAAGCUUAUUUAUCCAAUAGGUGAAAGAAAAGGGUGUCAGAGUGCUGUUAAAGGGGCCAGCACAAUUUGGCAGUUUUGUUUCAUCAAUUUUUGGAUAACAUGCUUCUCCCAAAGAAAAGACGUGAAAAUAUGUGGGCUGUCCUGGAGAAGGGUGCCUUACACUGCCUUCGCCAACUGCUCUGUACAUUCUGCCAGGCAAGGUACAUAAAUGUGGCAUUUAAAAAGAAGCAGCCUUACUGGAUGUAUUUUCUCUACAUCCAGAUCAAUAACUUUCUCACAGUUAUAACCAAAAUGAAAACCUGCUGCAUAUUAAAUAUCUACAGUGUUAGGUAACAUCAAAUAGUUACAGAAGAAAAUUAAACCAUAAACCUCAAAUGGGCAUCCAAAAUUAGAAAUCUUGCUGUGACUCUGCUCCUUGAUUGUACAGCAGAGACUCCUUGCUGAGGAGCUACAACAAUACAUUGACUAAUGUUUUUGUCACAGCAGUGAUCAGCCCUAAAGAAAAGCAUUGGAUGAAAUUAAUAACCUUAUCACCAGGGCAUGGCUUGAACAGCCCAUGAUGAAUGAGGCAGAAUGCCAAAACACUGAGUGAAGAGAGGGAACCACAUUUCUCCACAUGUCUGCAGUGACAAUACAGGGUCUAGGGGAAAAACAGCUAUCCUACACUUAAACACCACAGCUGGAUUCACAGGUCUGAGGAGACUGAACUGAAGAUAAAGGGACAGCAUAAUUCCUAGCACUGCCCAGAUUUUAGGGAUUCAUCAUGAACCUUUAGUUGUUGUGGUAGUAAUUAGUUGGGUUAGUAGGAAAUGCACUAAAAAGGAGGAAAAAACAAAAAAAAAGAAGAAAUUAUUUCAAAUUAUUUGUCUUUCCUUACAAGUUGUAAAAAAAAUAGACUUAAAGCAAAGAGUAGGGGUCAUGAAGUAUUGGUUCUGGCUUUUGCAGAAAAGCCAUCCCACUACCCACCACUAACAUCCCACCACUAACAUCCAAAGUUCUUAUCAUAGUUAUGUCUCCUAGAACUUGGUCCUUUCCUGAGGGAGACCAGCCCUGAGGGUGACAGGGUCCCAGUGCCUGCCUGGCUGGGUGGGUUUGUCUGAGGGUUUGCCACAGCUCCUCACAGGGAAGGGCAGGAGAACCUCAACACAUCUGUUUAAUGGCUCACAGUCCCUCCCUUUCUUUAUCCUUGGCUCAUCUCUCAUCUUCUCUGUUGCUUUGGCACCUGAGAUAUCUCAAGUAUGUACACUCUCCAUGACUUCUGAAAUAGAUGAAAACAUAUGGAAUCUUUCAGAUGCUAUUUAAUUUAACAGUUAACAAUUAAGUAAUUCACAAUAAUGUUGUGGUGAUUGUUGCAAAGGCUAACUAAUUUUCUAAAUCUUUAAAAGCAUUAAUUGGGUUUUGGCAUUCUGUCCCUUUGCUGAGCUGUCAGGAAGGAGUGACAGAUGAUCUGUAAACCAAAUAAGUCUGUUGUUCAUACAAUUUCCCAUCCAGGUAAGCUUUGAAAGAGUUUAGCGCAAAAGCCUGCAAAGCUUUUCAUAGUUUUCCUUCUAUUGUUCUCCUUGAAUAACAUGAAAAUAAUUGGGCUAAGGUGAUUUCAAUACUCGGAGACAUUAAUGUCCUUCUGUCAGGGGAGCAGACCACAUCUACUUUAAUAGACUGGAAUACUCACCAUCAGAAGUUCUAAGACUUCUAUCAAGGAUAGAUAGAAGUCAUUUAACUGGAGAAUUGCUGACACUGCACCUAUCUUCAAAAAGCAGAAAAGUGCAAGUCUGGACAACAAAAGAAUCCACAUGUCCUCCUCCCUCCAAACAACUGUCCUUGAUGUAACCUGAAAUUGCAUAGGGAGAUGCUUUAGUAGUUGAGGAGGAAGAACAUAAACACAUAUUGAUUGUUUCAGUAGCCCUGUGUCCAGGUUUUUGAUCUACCAUUGCUUCUUGUCCCUGGCAAGAAGGUGACACCGUUACUGCUGGCAAGUUUGGGCUCCCUAAGCUGUUUGAGAUCUGAGUCAUCCUGUGGGAUGAAGAGCUUGCUGAGUAACAUCUUAUCUGAAGGGCAUCCUUUGUAGGAGAAAGACUGUGAUUGUGUAAGAUGUCCAGUCAUGAAAGAGACUCUUGAAGGCAACAUCCCCAAAGGCAAAUUGUGAGUCACACUGGUUCCUCUGCUGAAAUCAGUAUCAUAUCACUUUGGAAUUGUUUGGGUAAGUGUGUUUGGGUAAGUGUGAUGCAUGGGGUUGUUCAAAAAGGUGGGAUGACUUUUUUCUUUCUCUUCAUCCCCAAAAGAGCACUGUUUAUAUGGACUGUGAAAAUAAUGUGAAGUGGGAUGUGAUGCUGCUGAGCUAACACCAAAUGUUAUACAGGCUGCUGGUCAUAAAUGUCUUCAAGUAAUCUUACAGUUUCUGUUAUGUUGUGAGGUUUCUACACAGAAUUCAACCAGGCAUUAAUAACAGCUUACUAGUCAUUCUGACUGAGCCCCUCUAUAGGAUGUCAAACACCCUCUGCUUUUGACAACUAUUUCAUGGGAUCCUAUGUCUUGCCAAAAUAUUUGCUUUAAUACUGAGCCUCCACAAUCCAGUUUCUCAUCUGAGAAUGACAGUAAGACAAAGGGCUCAAAAUCCAGAGUAUCUGAGGCUAAAGAAUUAUGGGAAAAUAAGGUUACCCUGGAAAAUGUUGCAGAGAUGUCCAUUCAAGAAAUCCUUACUCUUUUUGAUCCCUAUUGUCUUUUCAUUCCUAGGCUUUUCACAUACAUGACCAGCUUGAUAUUCUUGGAAGGAGCACCUGUAUCCCACUGCUGUGGUGGUAAUUGUCCUUGAAAUUUUGAAAACAAGGAGGACUAAAUUACCAUUCUGUAGUUUCCACUCAUUUUUGUGAAGAAUCCUGCCGUCAAAAGUCUUACGUUUUGCCUUUCAUAAGAAAAAAUCUCAGUAAUCUCUACUCCAAAAUAGUUUAAAGGUGUAAUAUUUAUCAUGGUUUUUAUCCUUAUGUUUGAAGACUAUUCUGUGAGUCAAUAGACCUCAGUAUCCAGAAAACUUCCUUGUGUCAGGCCUGUUUUCUUUUCCUGCAUUUCACCUCAUUAGCCCAGGGUCUAUUUUUCUGCCUUCUCACCCUGCAAAUCAACAGACAGUUAUGAAUCUGCAUCAAAGGGCAUCCCAGCAAAGCUCUGAGACCUUGUCUGUUCCCAAAAAGAAAAGAGGUAAAAAGAAAAAGGGGUUUACUAUGCAGCAAUACCAAUUUCUAUAAAACCAAAAAUGUCUGAAGCAUACCAAUGUUUUGAAUGGGAUGUCUAAUAGUGACUUCAGCUGUUGGAUGAGAAAUAAAGCAAUAUCUGCUUGGAAAGGAAUACUCUGAGAGGCCAAAAGAGGAGUCAAAAAUCAGCACUGAAUAUUAAUAGUACAGAAGGCUGUAAUUCUUAAAAACAACUGUAUGCUCAAGAAUUUGAGUGUCUCAAUGGCAAUAAAGCUGGCAAGGUAGGAUGAAUUUUACAAGGAAAAACAGAGCUGUAUAAGCAUGACUUAUUAACCAAUAUCCUAAUAAGAGACUGGAACAACCACAAAAAGAAUUUUCAAAUAUCCAUGAAGGUUUGGGUUUUUUUCCAGCAUAAACACAACAAUCUACACAGCUGAGCUGUACAUUAGAGGUUGUGGACUGACAAAACACUAAAGCAUUGUUAUGGAAAAUGUGGGAUCAGGCAACUUUGCAAGAACUAUGAAUAUGGCUUAUUUUCUGUCCCAUUAAAACUAGCCUUUAGGGUGGGUUUUAAGCUACAUUGAAGAGAAACAUGAUUGUUAAGGGAUAGUAAACAAGCCAUAAAGCAAACAGUUUUACAGUCAGCCUCACCUAUUACAGCAAGGGGUACUGCUGUGAGAGUAGGUGGUAUUAGGCAGCCACACUUUUUUAGGAAUGUACAAAAUUGUUCCUACCUUGAAAUACAAGUGAUUGGCAAGGAUGAGUGUUCACUGCUGAACGUAGGUAGCACUCUGCAUUUGAUGAGGUUCAGAUUUUUUUCUGCAUUAUAUGCAGAAUUCAAAGAGAAGUGCCCACUAAGAGGGAGGAUAAAAGUUACUGCUCUGCAGGGGAUACUUACUGUGUGUACUCUCCUCUAAAUGAUCCUUUGGCCAUGAGGAAAGUUUUUACAUAUAGGAUAUGGCAAAACAGAGAUAAAGGAUCUUUACUUCUCAUCCAAGGGUAGUCAUUCAGCUCUAUCUGGACAGGACAGCAACACAUUUGAGAAAACACAGGAUCCCAGAGACUCCAGCUAGGUUUUGAAGAUGGUCACCAUUAUAUUGGUCACUUUUUGGAAGGGAGAACAUGAAUUAUGGCAGGCAAACACAAGGGAUCUGGCUUUGUAAGAUACACAUUAAUAUUUUGAAUUAUGGAGCAUAUGUACCACCCUGCUAAGCAUUUUCAUGAAAGGACAAUAAAUUUCUGCUUAGAGACGUGCACCAAUACAGCUGUCAAGGAAAAGAACAAUUAAUGGAGAAACUAAAGAGUGGCCACACCAAAGAGGUCAAUGUCUUCUGAAGUGGCAGCAAAAUACUGCAUUCACAGGCAGUCCCACUGUGUUGAAAGGUUUUAUUUGAAGAACUGCAAGUUAAUUAGAGGAAAGUUGAAGGGCUGUCAGAUAAUGCUAAGCUUCAUUAAAUUCUGGCUUCCUGGCAAAAAAAAAAAAACAACCUUAGAGAGAGACAGGAUACAUUUGUUUUAAUUGCUUUAUGCUUUUACCAUGUCUUGGCCAACUUAAAUAUCAACUUCCUCCACAGAUGUAACUGAUCAGGCAAAAGGGAGAGGACACUAAGAGUGCAUCACUGUCUUGGCAGGCAUUGCACUAAGCCAAAAAAAGAAGUAAUUAGUGAAUGUAUUUUUGUUUAUAGCAGUCUGGCAGAAAACGUAACAACAAAGUACCUUCAGUACACACUGGAGCUUUUAUAGAGCUAGGAAAUGAGACAUGUAAAUGUGACAAGCAGAGUAAAACAGAAUGAAUUUUUCCUUCAAUUUGAAUAAAAUCACUUAAUUUUGCUUUCUGUAGGCUUAUUGGGAUAUUUUUGCUCUCUUUAAAAGUUGUUCUCUGUUAUAUUAAUAAAACUUUAGGACUUCAGAGAAUCCAGCAGGAUUUGGAUUUGUAGUAUAUGGGCAAAUAUAGAUGCCUGCUGAAGACUAAAGAGAGUAGCAGAACUGAAACAGGACAUGAACAGUCAUGGGAUCAGAAAGAAGUCAUUCAGUGCAGUGGUUUUGAAGACACUCAGAUCCAUAAAUCCACUCACAUGGCUAUUUCUCCAGCAUACAGAUUUGAUAAUUAGAAAACUAUUCCUGAGGAUGUGAACGCUGCACAGAGGCUUACAGGAAAGUAUGUAGGGGUCUGCAGGUGAAAAAAGGUUACAAACCACAUGUUUAGUCCAGGCUAAAGAGCAAAGUAAGAGUUCAUGAGUGUCUGGGGUCCUUCAUGCAUUCGUGGCUGUAGCUCUGAACUGCCUGACUCUACACAUGCAUUGUUCUCAGCCCUGGUGCUCCUGUCAUUUGCAGAGUAAAUCUCUGUGGGAUUUCAUGCAGUGCUUUUAGAAAAAUAAUAAUUUCUAAAUCUACAAAAUCUAUGGUCAUCUUAUAGGACAAACCAUAUUGAGUGUUUAAUCAACAACUCCUGUAUGAAAAUCUUGAAUUCCCUAAGCUGUCUCUUUCAGAUAGAUUUGAAACACAGAGGGAAAAAUUUCAAAUUACAGAUGUCUCUGAGUUGUUGCAAUGCCUCACUGAUGAUUAAUUACACUUCAAUUUCAAGUUGAAUUUGCCUAGCUUCUGCUUUCAGAAGAACAUGGUUUUCCAAGGCCUUUUUCUCCCAUACUUUCCAGACACCAUCUAUUACUUAUUUUAGGAAACAAUACAAAAGACUUCUUCAAAAUGAUGGGAUUUGGAGAGGAUGAGAAGCAAUCAAUACUGUUUGCUUUGGGAGGAAAAUGAUUUCCAGGAAUGGUGCAGCAAAUUGCUGCCUCAGCUGUGAAACCUUCCUAGGAAAACUAUACAGCAGCUAAGUUACAAAUUGUGGCUUUGACUUCUUUUUCCCAUUUACAGCUCUGCACAGCCUUGCCCUUAUCAAUGAUCAUUAAGGACUGUGUUCAAAUCCUGUAAUUCAGUCAGAUUGAGAGAACCUUCUUUGACAGAUAUUUAGAUACAGAAGAGCAAGGAAAACACCUCCUCCCUCCUGCUUCUGAUGUUUUCUGAGGAGUUUGUCUAAAGCAUAUAACCUUUGCUAACAAGCCUCUGGUCAUUGCCAUCUGAUUUUCCUGCCAGGUAUGGCUCUGUUACUCCUCCUGGUGCUAAAUGCAGAAAACAAAGCCUGUGGGCUUGCUGUGGCCACCAGUGUGACCCAGCAUUGCAGGGCCAGCCUCAGGCACUUCUGGUCUCCCAGGCUGUGUGGGAGUCCUGCAGCUGGGUCCCCUCUGGAGCAAUGCUCAAAGUGCAGAUAAAGCCACUUAGUUUCAUAUAUAAAAUAGUCUCUGCUGGCAGAACCCACUGCCUGCAUCACCUUAGUGUUACAGGGAUACUCAGACUUCUCCCCCUCUCCCAGGGAAACAGCAAGAGGAAAGGGAGGACAUGGUCCAAAAGGACAUCUGUCUCAUUCUUCCUUCAGGCUAAACAGCAGGAAAGUAGGGCAGCUUCCAGGAAGAGAUUUUGCCAAGGAAGAUGGAAUCAUAUUUCAUAUGUACAAUGGGAGACUGACAAAAUGACACCAGUGCUUUUUAUCUCAAUGAUACAUCUUUUAAAUUCACUACUAAUUCAAUGGUUAGUGUCCAUUAAUAGGAGUGUUUUUUCAGGAUUACAUUACCCUGUGGAACUGGCAGUCAGGUAAAAAUGAGAAUUUAUUUUGUGAGGAAAACCAAAGACGUCUUCCUGUUCCUAGUCAAGGCACGAAAGGAUCCUUGCAUGCAGAGUAGCAGGGCUAUGGCAGCACACACAUUUCUGUGGAUGCAGGGACAUGCACUCUUGCCUCUCCCUGUUUGUGCAGUAACUGGGGAGGCUCUACCCAUGGGCAUCUUCCUCACUGGUAAUGGGAUGGGCUCAGUCCCAUGCCUGAUAGUGGUGUGGAAACACUGUGCACGGGGGGAGCUUGAGGUUGGUCUCAAGCUUUUUAUGCCAGCAUUAGAACACAGAAGUGUGUUUUGGAGGACAGAUCUAACCAGCUCUGCCAUGCAGCUCCCAGCAGAGAGCUCUACCUUUUGAGUUGCACCAAGGACUGACCUGCAGUCCAACUAGAAAUGUUACCCCUACAUAUAGAUCUGGGCAUUUUUCAUUCUGACUCACAGAGCAUCUUGCUUGCCUUGCUACAUUGGUGUCAUCAUCAGUGACAACCUGACUUGCUAUAAUCUCCAGUGAAAGUGCACUUUAUCUGCUUUUCUUAUUAAGAGGGUGAAUAUAUGUAUGAAUUAAUUCAGUUGCAUAUUUCUUUGGGUGUUUUUUGACCUGUUUUGUCCUUCUCUUCCCUUCUUCUGUCUUCAAUCCUUUUUUUCCCUGGGUGUUACAUUAUUUUUCAGUCUAUGGUUUCCUGCAGGCUUAUUAUCUGGUGAAGAUCUCAAAGGUAAGUUUUCUUGUAGACCUCUGUGAUGGCACAGGGAGGAGAUUUGUUUAAGGGUAUUAUAUUGCAAAAAAGGACAGUGUAGAUUAUCUGUUAUCAUGAUGAGCCGAACAAGCUAAGAAUAUUCUAGUGAUAUAGUGAAAAACAGGGAAAAAAGGACAAUAUCUUGUAAAGCACUUGUAACUGUAUUUUACAUGUCCCUUUGCUUGCUUAACCUGAGUUGUCUGCUUCUGCCAGGUUGAGCCACUGAAAUCUCCACUGAGGAUUGUUCUGCAGGCACAUACACAUCCUUCUUUUGUUGAUGUCCUGUUGUAGCACUUUAUAGUGUCCAGCUUGGAUGGAAAUUAAGCUCAGAAAUCUGUUAUAAAUAUUGUUGCAAUUGGUGAAAACAACAAUAUGUAGUUUUCUUCAGGAUAAGAGCUGCCUUGUGUUCAAUAUGAGAAACUACAUGUGGGAUUUUUUUUUUUUUUUGUUUAAAAGGAUAACUUUGUUUCAAUUCAGAAAAUUCCUUUUCUAUCUUUUCCUCACCUAUUUAAACAAUCAUAGCAGACUAAUGCUUUGUGAGCCUGUGUUCAUCAGAGAUGAUGCUUCAUUAGAUAACCUUCAAUCAAGUUGCAUCCAAGGUCGUGGGUGAAUGCAGCUCAUCUCUACGCCUCAAUUUCCAUAUUGUGAAAACAGCAGCUGUGAAACAAUGAGAAAAUGUGAGUGUCUCAGGGCUGUGUGCUCUUCUACCUGAUGUUUUGCAUGCCUGACCAGCAGAAUGGGGUGUACUACUCCAGAAAGCAGAAGAGAGAAAAAAUGAGAGGUCUCAGAGCCAGAUAGCCAGGAAUUAGCAUGUUGAACAAUGAGACAUUUAAUAACCUACUGUGAGAUAUGGGUACCUACCCCUGGGCCACAAAUCCCCACCUGUCAGUUCUGCACUGAACCCACCUCUCCACUCUUCCCUUCUCCUCGGGUAAACGCUUAGCCAAGAUUUGCUGUAAGAACUCAGCUGAAUCAUUAAGGUUUAAUCUUUAUCUCCAAGGCAAUAAAAAUAAGAUUAUUCAGGUUAUUAGUUAAAGGGUAUUCAAAGUUAUUCAGGGUAUUGUGGUUGGUGUUUUGGGUAUUUUUGGUCUGUUGGACCUUCCAACCAGUGUUCUAAUCAUGAAGCUAAAGCUAAAUGCAACCUGAAAAGUGCUUUGGAACUGGUCCCUGUUGGGGAAGCCUUAGCAGAUGAGGGAUCGAGUAGCUGGACAGCUGCUUUUGGAUAGGGAAGCCAUAGGAUGACUCAGGAGAACACAGCUUGACUGUCACUGUGCUGGGACAAUCUUGGGCUGAUGUGGUGUGAAGACAGCUGAGAGCUUGGGCUCCUCCACCGACACAGAGGAGUUUAACUUGUGGGUGCCAGGAGCAAGCGUGGGCCAAGAGAGGGGCACACAGGACUUCAAGGCUUGGAAACAUAAUUUCUACUUGGAAUAUUUGUAUCUAGCUAGCAUAUUGAAUGCUGCACUAGAUACCUGUAUGCACUUCCAGGCUUCCAGCACUGGAAGAGGACAGGUUUUAAAAGAUUGCAGCUUCAGAUUUAGGCAAGACUUGAGUACCAAAAGCCUUUUGUGACUCUGUUCCCAAGUCAUUUGAAGUAAUUAGCUACCUGUUUUCCAGAAGAAGCAUCAUCCUGUCUUCAUUUCUCUGAAUGCUAAUUUCAUCUGCCAGCUGACUUGGUCUCUACUGUGCUUCCCAGGUUUUGCUGGGAACACAUCCCAGAGGAAGUCUUCUGCAUUAAGUAUAGACCUCUUCUUGCCAUGUGCUUCCAGCACACUGAUGAUCUACAAGAGACAUCUGGGACAUCAUCUAACAUAAUCCUGUGGAGCUUCACACAGGAACCACCUGGAGAAGAACACCAGUACUAGAAAAAAAAAAAUAAAAAAUGCUUGCAGCCAGAGGAAAAGGAUGGUUCCUUCUAAAAGGGUCUGUGCACAGAACAGAAUGUCUUUGGUGCAGCUGGAUUGGCUUCAGCUGUGUUGCUCAAUUCACACUUAGGCAAAAGGAAAACAAGGAGAGCGUAUCUUGAGGCCUUAAAUUUAAUCCAAAGAUGUUAUAAUGUUGCAGAAAUGAAUCAAACAAGGUACUUCCAGAUUGAGUUUUAACCAGUGGUGGUCUGGAGGAAUGGACAUGCUAUUGCUGAAAAUCAGUUUCAUCAGACCCCUUUGACUUUUAUGGUUUUUGAAGAAUUAAUGUCUUCAGACAACUAUACUACCAGGGGUUGCAGCCCAUCCUCUGCUGAAAAUUUACAAAGGUCACUGAGUCAGCGGUGGGUCUUUGUGACUGUAUAAGGUUUGUAUGACAUGGAUUUGGUAGCAGGGGGACUAGAGAAGGGUCUUCUGUAAGAAGCUUCCCCCAUUUCUGAUGGAGCCAAUGCCAGCAGGUUCCAAGAUGGACCCACUGCUGGCCAAGGCUGAGCUCAUCAGUGAAGGUGGUGGCUCCUCUGGGAUAAUGUCCUUCAGAAGGGGAAAAGAGUUACAGAAACAACAAUAUGUAACAGGAAAAAACCCUCUGCAGCCCCCAAAGCCAGUGAAACAGGAGGGGCAGGAGGUGCUCCAGGUGCUGGAGCAGAAUCCCCUGCAGUCUGUGGUGCAGACCAUGGUGAGGCAGCUGUUCCCCUCAGCCCAUGGAGGACCAUGGAGG